GAACUUUGAAGCUGUAGGGAAUGAUUGGGCUCCAUCCAACUCCAUGUCCACCGGACUUGUCGUCUGGCCUACGGUAUGUUCUCCAACCUGUCUGAACAAACUAUAUCAUGAAAACAAUCCAGCAGUUCCUUUUUUUCAGAUAGCAUGCCUGAAAGAUGAUCCUUAUAUGACAAAAAAUGGAAGCUACUGCAAAUUUUGUACAAAGAUAUUGACCAUAUAUCACUUGCAUGUUGCCUAUGUCUCAUAUUAAACAUGAUGCUAUAAUUCUUUGACAGCAAAAACAUGUAGUAGUAUUUACUUGUGGAAACAUGCAUGAUAUCGAAGUUUAUGGCUAUGAUUCAGCAGUUACAGUAUUAGCAUCUAUAGCACUUGGUUUCACAGUGGAGAUUACUGGGAGGUCAUUAAAGUAUUUUUAAUCAUGGGCAAUAGGUAGACCAUUUUCAACCAUGUUCAUUUAUCCUGAACUGAAGGGUUCUGAAUAUCCUUAUGAGCACAAAACAAGCAACAAAACUAUUGUCUCAAGAAAGGCAUGAAGAACAUUAGACAAUCUGUCUCUCUGUCUAAACUGUCUAAAUGGAACCUUCAAAUAAACAAAAACAUUGUAAAGCACAUGAAUUAAGGGUCAAAAUGGUAGAAAGAACCAACCUUUUUCAUCAGGGUCAGAGAGCCCAGGGAUCCGCCCAGCCAGAAGGCCCUGCUUCACUGCCAUGCUCUCACCUGCAAAACCAAACACUGAAACUCCACAGGCAGCAGCAGCAGAAGCCAUUGCAUGCCUCCUCCCCAUCAAGGAGGCUACACCAUCCUCCUCCUCAUGUGCUUCUGACAGAUUGGGCCCACUGCUGCACCUAACAGCAGCUGCUGCUGAUGCUCUGCCCUUGGUUGCAGGUACCAGCUGCUUUGUGAGGAACAGGGAUGAGCUUGGCAAGAACAGCACUGAGCUGUUCAUCAUCUCUGCAAGAAGCAUGGAUAGUUUAUUGGGAGCAAGUUCUUCUUUCUCUGUGAUGCUCUAGCUCUGGCUCUAUGAUGUUUCUUGAAUAAUUUUUUUGCUUCUUGUUUUUCAUUGAGAGAAUUAUCUUUUCUUUGGUUCAAUACUCCUUAGGCUGUUCUGGACCACAAGCCAUGAGUGGACAGGAUGAUUUGGGAGUUCAGC
rnacentral:lncRNA from 1 species